AACGCGAAGAACCUUACCCCCCCUUGACAUCCAGAGAAUUUGUGAGAGAUGUUAGAGUGCCUUCGGGAACUCUGAGACAGGUGCUGCAUGGCUGUCUUCAGCUCGUGUCGUGAGAUGUUGGGUUAAGUCCCGCAACGAGCGCAACCCUUAUCCUUAGUUGCCAACGGGUGAUGCCGGGAACUCUAUGGAGACUGCCGGUGAUAAACCGGAGGAAGGUGGGGACGACGUCAAGUCAUCAUGGCCCUUAUGGGUGGGGCUACACACGUGCUACAAUGGCCGGUACAAAGGGGAGCAAACUCGCGAGAGCCACCCAAUCCCACAAAGCCGGUCCUAGUCCGGAUUGGAGUCUGCAACUCGACUCCGUGAAGUCGGAAUCGCUAGUAAUCGCGAAUCACAAUGUCCCGGUGAAAACAUUCCCGGGUCUUGUACACACCG
rnacentral:rRNA from 1 species